rnacentral:rRNA from 1 species
CUGAGUACGACGGAGCACGUGAAAUUCCGUCGGAAUCUGGGAGGACCAUCUCCUAAGGCUAAAUACUCUCUAGUGACCGAUAGUGAACCAGUACCGUGAGGGAAAGGUGAAAAGCACCCCGGAAGGGGAGUGAAAUAGAACCUGAAACCGUGUGCUUACAAGUAGUCAGAGCCCGUUAAUGGGUGAUGGCGUGCCUUUUGUAGAAUGAACCGGCGAGUUACGAUUUGAUGCAAGGUUAAGCAGUAAAUGUGGAGCCGUAGCGAAAGCGAGUCUGAAUAGGGCGUUUAGUAUUUGGUCGUAGACCCGAAACCAGGUGAUCUACCCUUGGUCAGGUUGAAGUUCAGGUAACACUGAAUGGAGGACCGAACCGACUUACGUUGAAAAGUGAGCGGAUGAACUGAGGGUAGCGGAGAAAUUCCAAUCGAACCUGGAGAUAGCUGGUUCUCUCCGAAAUAGCUUUAGGGCUAGCCUCAAGUGAUGAUUAUUGGAGGUAGAGCACUGUUUGGACGAGGGGCCCCUCUCGGGUUACCGAAUUCAGACAAACUCCGAAUGCCAAUUAAUUUAACUUGGGAGUCAGAACAUGGGUGAUAAGGUCCGUGUUCGAAAGGGAAACAGCCCAGACCACCAGCUAAGGUCCCAAAAUAUAUGUUAAGUGGAAAAGGAUG